CCCAAUCCAAAACCAUGACCCAAAUCCUACCUCCAGAAUUCACAUGUGCAUCGUCGUCUACCGAAUCAAAGCUCAAGUGAGGCACAGAAGACACAGUAGAGAGUCUACUGUAGAGAGAAAAACGACGAAAUGGGAAGGAAGAAGGGAGUAGCAGAGUUCGAGGAAUCGCCGCCCGAUGACUUCGAUCCGUCGAACCCAUACAAGGAUCCAGUGGCGAUGCUUGAGAUGAGGGAGCACGUCGUCAGGGAGAAGUGGAUCGAUAUAGAGAAGGCCAAGAUCUUGAGGGAGAAGCUAAAAUGGUGCUAUCGCAUAGAAGGCGUCAACCACCUCCAGAAGUGCCGCCACCUCGUUCGUCAAUAUCUCGACUCCACUCGCGGCAUUGGCUGGGGCAAGGACCAGCGUCCUCCCUCUUUACAUGGUCCUAAGGUGGAGGCACUUACGUCUGAGUGAAUGGUUAUAUUGAGGUGACUAAAGUUAGAAGAAGAUAUGCUCUGGAAUUGUGGGGAAGGCAAUGGUUUGCUGUGAUUGUGUUUGCUUAAUCUGGAUUCUUAUCAUCCACAGUUUUUACUCAUCUUUCCUGCAAUGUACAGAGGCCAGAAAUUGCUCUCUGGAUCUUAUAAUCCUUUUCCUUUUGACAUCAAAAUAACAUCAUUGACGUGGACAGGGACAAGGAAUGAAAGUGACCCAGAUAAUGAAAUAAAAAUUUUCCUAUAUCAUUCUUGCUUUUGUUUAAUUCUGAUGGAUUAUGCCCCAAUUUAAUGAUUUGGGAUUGGAGAAGGACACAUUGGAAUUUUUCUACAAUUUGGAGUUGGAGGGUCCCUGGUAAGAUUCCAAGCUUUUACAUCCAUUCUUGUUUGCUUAUUAACAUUUGAUUUGAAAAUUUAGUUAAAUUGGUUGUAAUGUCAUUUGUGGAUAUGAAAUCAUGGGCGGCGGUUUGAGCGGUGGCGGUCUUAAGAAUUGGCUCAGUUGUUAUUGUCCUUUGUGUCUUCUUCUCUUCUUCUGGCUUUAGUUUUGACCUCUUCUUAAACAGGGUAAUUGGGUUUUGGUUUGGGUGUGAGAAUUUGAAAUUAUUAAGCCUCCUAAUGCCCACCUUAAUUUGAGGAUUUUGAGUUAACUAAUUUGGCUGGAAAAAAAAAUUUUAGUAGAAAAUAUA
rnacentral:misc_RNA from 1 species